UGCCCCAUGGCUAAGUUGGUCAAAGCGUCCGACUGUUAAUCGGAAGGUCCUGAGUUCGAGCCUCAGUGGGGCAG